UCAGCAAGAACAACAAAUUAUGACACAUUACUAACAGUAGAAUAUAAAAAUAAGGAUUUACCUCCUCUAGGAGAUGGAAAGCAUCAGGUCCAGGCAUCAGGCAUCUCUGUAGGGAUGAAGUGGGUCCUAAGUCCAGCUGGCAAGUCAGUCCACAGGUUGGAAUCAGGUCCAGGGAAAGCAUCCAGGCUAAACUUGCUUGACUACAUCCAGAACAGCAGGGUUUAAGGCCAUGCUGGAUAUACUGAGGUAGAGACUACUGUUUCUGCAACUGAGCUUACAAAACAAGAAAAACUUCCCGCCAGGUGGAACUUUAUAUAGAGUCCCAGCCCGUGGGUGGGGAUGCUCAGCUGAGGCCAGUCAGGGCCACCAAAGCUUAUAAAGACACUCAGAGGCCCAGGAAGGGCUUAUGAAGAGGUGGAACAGGAAAAGGUGGGCCUGUGCUCUAGGGUUGGUUGCUAAAAAGGAAGCUAAAAUGAAAUAAUUGUUGCAGUUACGUAUAGUAUAAAACCUAAAAAAUAAUCCAGAGUAGUGAGACAAUAUAAAUGUUUUUUCACCUUAAAUAAUAUGUGUGAAAAAACAACAGGAGCUUUAGAAAAGUUUCUCUGUCCCUGAAGAGGUAAUGCUAUAAUGCAUAGUAGUCUCUCAAGGCUUCAAGAUUCUUUUAUUUGAGCAAAGGAAGAUGAAGAAAAAGCAUGGCAGAGGUAAGUAGCAUUCACUGAUAAAUACCUGUUCUAGUUGUAGUAAUAUCAGAAUAUAUGCCAUUAAGGAGGCUUGAAAUCAGCUUAUUCAGGCUUUUUGUAUGGACUAUGUAUAAGUGUGUGGAACCUUCUGUGGUGUGACCUGAACACACCAAAGACACAGUUUCUCUAAAGCAAAUUGACAGAAGGAUGGUGAUUGGAGACUAAUAAAUGCAGUAACCUGGGUAUAACAUAUAAAAGCCCUUAAAUGCUGCUGGAAGCUCAGUGAGUGCCCCAGGGCCAGGGUCCUGUUCUUCCACCAUCACAGUGACUAUUUUUCUGCUGUCAAACUACCAGCUUUAGGUGUUGCCAAUAACUCGGGGACAGCUUGAUGUAUAAAAUGAAGGCAUUAUUCAGCAGUCUGUGCUGACAGCUAUCUUUAAGCAGCACAUUUAUCUAAAGUACAGUGAUGCUUCAAUAGUGGAUACCUGUAGAGUGCUUCCAAGGCUCUAAAAUGAGCUGGAUAUUAUCUGCAGGAUGGCUAUGGCUUACAGCUUAUUUGGACACGGGUUUUUUUUUGCUGCAAUGGGCCAUUUUCUGCUAUUACCAGCGAAAUAAGCUUAAAACCCACUUCUUUUCUUCUGCAACGCGAAGCUGUGCGUGAUGUGAUGAAUUUGCAAAGCUUUUAAAGGAUGGACGGGAGUUAAAUAACUUCCUCCAGGGCCUAAGGCGCUGCCGAGCAGGACUGGGAGUCGCUGCUGCACCCAAGGCAGGCUGAGGAGGGGCAUUGCAGCAGAGGAAGCUCUGUGAACCGGAGGCAGCGCUGAAGCAGCUUGUGUAGCCGGAGUUUGUGAUGCUGGAACAGCAGGGCACAGCACAGACAAAUUGCAGCGCUGUCAGAUGAAACUGUUCGGCUGUGGUGACUCCACAGUCCGUUGUAGCUCAGGUUUCUCUCGUUAAGCUUCAAAGAGUCACAGACGGCUCGUUAGCGGAGAUUCGGGUUCCUUUUGUUUGCAGCGAGUCUCAUAAAGGAAACAGUGUCUGCAAUCGACCCUCCUGGGACCGAGCCGGGUUGAUGCAGGGUCGGGAGCACACUCCUUCUUUCCAGGCAGAAAUGCCUGGGAAUGUGGUGGGCUAGGGGGAGGGAAGACAGGAGAGCAGUGUCCUUUCCUUGCUGAUCACUGCUGGAGGCAGGAUGGGCUGGGGAAUUCGUUCCCUGUUCAAAACACGCACAGCAAACCUUUAUUCUGUCACCUUUCUCGUUUUGGACCUCAUGUCAGAUCAGACCUUUCUGUCAAGCUGCUCGGAUACCUGCCAGAGCUGUAACUUCCUGGAGUUUGGAAGUGUGUUUUGUGCUGGUUUUGGAGUUUGUUUUUAGAAAUUUUAGGAAUAGGAAGAAAAGGCCAGUGGGGACUGGUGCAGGAAGGAUAGGUGAGACCUGUGUGGCUGUGGACAGUGGUUGAGCUGCAGAGUCACCUCUGGAUGGCUUUUUGUGGCAACCUCACAGAAGGUAAGUGAGCAGGAAGGGCAGACUGAUGCAAGGGAAGAAUUCGGCAUCCGAGUCUGGGCUUUCCACUACUGCUGUUGAAAUAACUCAGGACCAGACCAGCUCCUGGGUAUUCCUGUAUUCUACAUCCCUGAGUGUGCUGGGUGGUGGCUAUAUAAAUAUUUCUGUGGAGCUAAGCUGUUACUUAAGGAUUAAAAUACCAUCAAAUAAGUAAAAAAAUUAUUUUAACACCUUCAGAGGUGCCCAGAGGGGGAAAAUGCAAAUGAAGGCACAUCAGGAUCCACUAAUCCACUUCUAAAGUAUUAUCCCAGCACAUUAUUCUUUAAGAACACAAGCCCUUUGGUAAGGGAAGGAGUGGGGGUUUGUGACAUUGCCAUUAAGCACUUCACAAUCCUGGCCUUGCAGUACCCAACGAGGAGUUAAUGACUCCCUGGCUCCAACCCAAUGAAAGGAGAUUAAAAAGGGUGAGGGGAAAAUAGGAUUUCUUGAUUCAAUAUUUUUGUUUCUUAGAGAAGCAGGACUCUGGAGACUUCUGUGCCAGGGGCCUAAUUGCACACAAAACCCUGCUUCUACAAAAUAAAGGAGCUUUGCUGAAAUAUUCUGAGGAAUCUGCUCCAUGCUUACCCCUUCUAGUUUGGAGAGUGCUUCAACAUGGGCAUGGAUAUUUUCUUCCUGGCAAUACUGGGAAAUGGAGGAGACAGAGGAAAAAAUAGAGAAAUCAUAUUCCUGGUAGGGACUUGAAAGGCAGACAGAUUCUUGGGAAGCAGCAGAUUAUGGGGAAUAGAGGGAAUUUUUUUUCUUGAAAAAUCCAUUCCCACACCAACCUGCAAGGAGAGGGAGGAAAGAAGACAGAUCUACUAGAGGUCUUGCACCUUGUCUUGAGGCAUGAUCUGCAUGCUGAGGAGGGCUUUUAUUUCAGUGUGACUUUCCAGAGCUGCCUUGAAGAUGUUUAGAUGGGAUAUUGGGAAGAAAUCCUUCCCUGUGAGGGUGGUGAGGCCCUGGCACAGGUUGCCCAGAGAAGCUGUGGCUGCCCCAUCCCUGGAAGUGUUUGAGGCCAGGUUGGAUGGGGCUUGGAGCAACCUGGGCUAGUGGAAGGUGUCCCUGCCCAUGGCAGGGGAUGGAAUGAGAUGGACUUUAAGGUAUUUUCCAACCCAAAGCUUUCUGUGACUCUGUGUCCCCAACAAUGGCCUUGAUGCCAUGUCAACUGCUUUGCUGCUUGUGAGCAUCUUCACCUCCUCUCUCUCUGCUCCAGCUGCAGUUCAUGUUGUGGCUUGUGCUGCUCUUCGGAGCCAGCUCAUAUUUUGUGUCAUUCCCAGCUGCCACUGUCACCUGAGAUCAAAGGUAUACCCACCACCCCAUGCAGAAGCUGCUCUGCUCAGAGAAGCCCAGAGCUGCUCAGGCUGGAGGUGUGUUUGUCAUUUUAUUUAUAGCAAGUGGGAACUUGAGGCCAGUGGCCAAACACUGUAUAUAUUUAAAAUACAUGGAUGGCACAGCAGACAAACAUGCCAUUCAUUUCUGGAAGGUACAAUAUAUUUCUAAGCCAUAGGAAUCCCCCUGCCCUCAGGGAUGUGCUGUGGGAAGGAGGGCAAUCCCCUCCCCUCUGCCCCAGCACAGAGCUUUGAUGUAGUGAAGUGAAACCUUCUGCUAAGUAGGGACUUGUGUUUGAUGCUGACUUUACAAGCAGGAGUACAUUAACUCCAGGCUGUAUUGGAAAUGUCACUCCUGUACUGUUCAGGCAGCCUCCUCUGUGGAGCAGGGGGAGGAGGGUGGUAUGGAUCAAGGUGUAGACAUGAUUCCUGUAGCCUGUCCCGUCCUCUGCUGCUGUCUCUGCAUGGAUAUCAGGACACAGCUUUAUCUCUAUGGCUUUCUCUGGGGCCACUUCUGUAUUUCAGAGGAGCAGAGAACUUGGCAAUUCAGCUGGCAGCUGCUAUGGAAAAUUCCACAAGUUGGACACCCCCACUACAGCUCCCUGGACAAGGCAGAGUGGCACAGACCCUGCCCCUCACAGCCAGAGUUGCUGUCCUGGAGCCCAUCAGGGGAGGCACACAUGGACACUGAGCUCAGCUCCUCUUUGGUGAGACAGCUUUGUGUUGGUGCCUGCCCAGGAUGCUUCCCAGGGAGGGGAACAGGGAAUUCACUCCUCACUGCGUGUGGCCCGUGGGCUCUCAGCUCUGAACAGGUUCACCAGGAAUGUCAAAAUUCUUUGUAGAAACUUUGUGUUGAAGAGUGUUGAAGCUCAUACUGCAUCUGUGUGGGUUUAGCUUAUAAGAGUUGCCUUUCCUGCAGCCCCUUACAACUUCCUACUGAUGAAAUUCAGCAGGUCAGGGCUGUUCACUGAAUCUCUCCCUGGUUAUAUCCCACCUGGAUGCUGUGCAGUCCUCACCUCCAUGGUACCUGCAUGCUUUCCCCUGCUUAGAGGGAGGGAAAAUCAAGGUGCAAACCUGAAAUGAUCCCCCCAGCUUAUACAGAUGUGUGCAGAAGAGACAAGAUGCCAGGUUUUUUUGACAGCUGAACACACAGGUUUGGGAUUACACUCCACGUGCUGCCCUUUGAGCAGCUGCUGCUGCCACUUACCCUGGUUGAAUCCGUGUCCCGUGGUCAAGAACCAGCAAGAUUGUGCCACAGGUGUUUGAUGUCCUUGUAAAACACCUUCAGGGAUCUGCCACAGCAUCUGCUUGAAGACCUGGGACACAAGUAAACUCUGUUGAGCUGGUAUGUGGAAGUUUGGUUUAAUAGUUUUUACAUCUUGUAACAGCCCACUGUUUGAAAGUCCCCUUUCUCCCCAAGCAUCCCACUCUGGCAGUGGUGCCAGGGCAAGAGAAAAAAGUAAUCUGAGUUUGCAAGGCAGUGGUUCAGGCAGAACAAAAACCUUGAACAAAGGGACAAAAGUCUUUGCAAUUUUGGAAAACAAAGACUCUGUAUCCUCACCUUCUGAUCAAGGACACACUCUGCUGCCACAGCUUUAGUGCCAGUCACACCACUUACUCUGUGUCCCUGCCAGAAAACCCGCAUUGGAUGGGUGUCAGGAGAGAAAUCACAUAGCCCUGCUGUUCUCUCUGAAUUAAACAUUUCAUUUCCCUGUGUUUUCCGGAAGAACUGUGAACAGCUCAUGCUAUUUCUAGUAACAGUCCACUUAGCAAUCGCAUUAACUGCAUGUAUUUAUCUCCUUCAUCUUUUGAAUGUGACUCCUCCAUCAGCAGAGCUCGGCAACCCUCACCCACAUCCACCACCGCGAUGCCGAGGCUUGGUGGGGGCAACCUCCGUGGCACGAACCUCACUCUCCACCCACAGUGCCCGAUGAGGGACCUCGAGCCCAUUCCCAAACUCUUGCAUUCCUGCAUUUUCUUACCUCCUUCACCUUGCACGAGGGCCGAAGGCUGGGGAAGUUGCAAGCGGCAAAGCACCUGGUGGGCAGGAGAUGGCAGCAACAGCCCAGCAACCGCUUUGCCUCACCGGGACGGGGCUUCCUUUCGUCGGGAAUACCGGAGCGUUUUUGCAGAGGAAAGGAGUCGUUUUCACACCUUUGGACUUCGGAAUUGUGAUCAAGGCACAGGAGACGCCGCUCCCAGACUGGAAAAUCAAAGGAGGUGGCUCAGCGUGAAGGAUUUGGUGCGAGGAGGAGCACAUAAGCAUCACCCGUGCAGUGAAAGAUGUUUGUUCUUCCAGUCUAUGUUGGUCAUUACCGGAGACAUUUGAGGAUUGUAGCUCCUGGGUGCAGGUACAUGAGGCCCGGCAGAUUUUAAGCAUGGUUUUCCUGACACAUGGGAUGUUGUCCCGUGGGAGUUGGUAGAAAAGGAGCAGCAUACAUUGAGGAGCAUUGUGGUGCUGGGACAGUUUUGUGCUAUGCUUCAGUUUGGGAUAUUUGUUCUUUUAGUCUUUGAUAAUUAUAGGAGAUUUGUGUGGAUUUGAGCUCCUGAGUGAGGUAUGUGAGGCCCUGUGGAUUUUAAGUUGGACAUCCCCUUUCCCCAGUGCAAAUAAUUUGGAAAAAUAAAAAACACACUUUCAGAGCUCUGCUCUUUCAAGGGCAUGGGAGAUAGGUCCUGAACACGCCACAGUGGUGGGGGUGCGUGCUGGGAUGUGCUGGCAGAUACUGGAAGUGACAUGUGGGAUGGGAGUGAGGUCUGAACAUCAUGCUACCUUGCAUCAUGGUUUUAAUCUUCCUCCUUCCUUAUGUCUUCUACACCUUUUGCAACCUGCACGUAACCUUUGUUUGCAUGUCCUGUUCUUAGGCCGCUUCGCUAGGAUGGGAUUUACAACAUCCUCCAGCUCUGCUGCUGCUUCUCCACCUGGAUGUUUUGGACAUGUCACUUGUGUAAGUUCAGUGUCCACACUUGUAAAAAGGAGGCAAGGACCCUCUUCUCUGUAAAGAUCCUGGAGAGGGACUGAGUAUCUCAUUCCUGUCACUGCGACCUGCUCCUGGGUGAAGAUGCACCAUGGCCAUCAACCCUGUGGGGCAGGCUCUGCUCCCACGAGGCUCCCAGGAUGGAAGGACAGGAGCAACCAUCCAUCAAGGCACAUUGUCACCAGCCCGGCAGACAGCAAGCACCAAGUGUGGAGAGGACAAGCUCUCACAAGUCCACAUUUUUCUGUGGAAUUGCCCUGGUUCCUGUUUCAUGGGACAGCAGCCUGGCCUCGACUUGACAGAGUAGGACAGGGUAGCUUGAAAGGGGCUGUCGAGGGAAGAACAGCUGAGAGCUACAACGAUCCCAGUGUGUGUAUAAAUAGAGACAGGGCUGUUAUCCUGAUGAAAUGAGACCAGAUGUUUCUCCCAAAUCCCUGCUCUCUGCUAGUGAAAAUUAUAGUUUAGUUACAGCAGGGCGAAGCGGGCAGCAAAAUGUUUUAGACCUACUGAUGUUGGGAAGUCAAAGGGGAAAAAUGCCCCACUGGGGCGGGGGAUAUCAUGCCCUGUGAUGCAGGGAUGGAUUGGGGACGGUCAGAGUGGGUGAGAGCUGGAGGAGCCCCUCGCUGCCUUUGUUCUAUUUUGCUGCUUCCUAUCCCGGUAUUAACGGGCUGAGUUUAAAGCCCAUGCUGCGACUGCCUUUUGUGAGGUAGAAAUUCAGUGUCAGCACAUGUAUCCUGGAGGCAGUUGGCAUGAGAUGAAGGAGGGAUGGCAGCAGCAGUUAAAACUGGGCCUUGGCUCUUUAAUAUUUAACUUUCCCCAGUGCUGUUUUUUUUUUUUUUAAUCAGUUUGUGCAUUAUCUGCCAUCCCCGUUCAAAGAGGGUUUUAGCACAGAGAUUUCAGUGCUUAAUCCCAGGGGCAGGGAAAGCGGAAGAGUCUCUCUGAAGGUUCCAGGGCUCAGUCUGGCCUCAAUUACACCAGCCUAAAUCAGCAAAGAGUGGCCACGACGGACUUUGAUGUGACCGCGUCGGGCUGGAGGUAACAAAAUUAGGAGUAAGUCCCAUAUCUGUCCAGGAGAUGCCUCUGGUCCCUAAGGCCCCAUCCACAGGGAGUUCCCAGGAGGAUAUAAGCAUUGCCUGGCUGGCUCAGAAUAAACGUCCACCUUGGGCAACAACCAGUGCCUGGCCGUGGCCAGCUGCAGAUGCUUAGGAAGGGAUAUCGGAAGAGGGAGAGUAUAAAGUGAUCCUUCCUCCGGCAUAUCCUCCCAGCUCCUGGUAAUCAGCAGUUGAGGGACUUCCUAAGCCGGAGGUUGCAUGAAUUUGUGUAAUCCCUUUUGUUGUCUUUUUUUUUUUUUUAUUAUUAUUAUUCAUUUAUACUUUUGGCCUCCACGACAUCCUGUGGCAAUAAGUUCCACAAUGUAAUUAUGUGUUGUGUGAAAAAGUACUUCCUUUUGUCUGCUUUAGGCCUGGCUCCUGAACAUUUCUCUCCGUGAUCCUUCGCUCUUGUGUUGUGAAGGAAAUGGAAAAGAAUUCCAGCUCCAUACCAGACCUCUCUUGACCUCUUCAGACUUCUCUGUCUUUGUUUGUCCCAAGGUUUUGUUCUUCCAAAUUGGAGCUCCUUGUUUUUCUAGCCUUUCUUCCUCAUAUGGUAUCUAUCCCAUUACUUCCACUGUCCUUACCGCCCUCCUCCACGUCUCUUCUCAUUUUAUUAUUGCCUUUUUUUGAGAUAAGAUCACUGAACUGAGACUUGAUCACUCCUGAAGACACGAAUUCAUUCUGCUGGAAGAAGGUCAGCUCAAAAGGUUUUUUUUCCUAAAGUCACUCUUGUGUAGUUCAGUUUCUUCUACAACACGUACAGUCUCAGGCUUAAUGGAAAUACAUAUGCAGCUCUCUUCAAACACUUGGAUUUGACCUAUUCUGAGCAAACCUCCAGUCCUAGUUUAACUAGAGCCUGUGGGUUAAUGUGACAUCCACAAGUAGAUCAACUAAUGGGUCUGGUUUACACGAAGGGAAUGUCAUGUAUGUGCUUAUAUUACUGCUCAUUUAUUCCUGCACAAAUCCCCUGUGCACUACUGGUGGAGAAGGCCCACAGCCAGAACAGCUGAGCUGGUGAGCCUGAAACUCGGGAGUCUCUAAUUUCCAGAACAUCUUUAUUUAUAAAAUAUGUCUAUUGUUGCUCCUGUCAUGCCUGCAAAACGAGCCUUCCUAUUUUAGUCAUCCCUGCCCUUUAUUAUUGUUUGUGUUGCCCCAAACCUCACAAAUGGGGCAGGAGAAUGGGUUUUGUCUCCCGCUGCCGUGUGAAUUUCAGAAACCACACUAGCCAGUCCUUCCAGACCUUGCUGCUAGGAUGGCUUGAUCAUACUUGCAGAUACAACCGGUCCUCACUUGAUGGGAACCAGUUGCUGGUGUCUUGCACUGCUCCUGAAUAAAUAUUGUCCCAGGAUUGUGCUGCAGAUUUUUAAAACUCCACUUUUGGCAGUAGCUUAGCAGCCACAUCCUUCCCUCACAACACACCAGCUCCUCUCCUGCUUCUCAAAGCAGCUUCAUCCCCCUUGCCCACCGUGUGCCUUGGGCGAGUUUCCCACAGCAGGGAGACAGCCCAGACUUGUGUAAAGGAUGGAGAAGUCUCUGGGAGAGUAGGAUAAACUUGAGGAGUUUAUCAGAUCGUGGCCCCUAAAUGAUAAGCUGGAAGAAUAUGUACGUUGUUAUACUAUCAGCAGCAGUGGGAAUGAGCAGGGGUAGAGAGAAUGUAGGAGGGAAAAAUUGCUUUUCCUAUUCCUUUACAGUAUUAUUAUGGCUUUUUAUGCAGAUAUCUGCUCUGGAAGGAGUAUCCCACACACCCUCAGCUCCCAGAACUUUGAAAUCACGAGGCAGAACAUAUUUUAGGGUGGGAAAGAGGAAGGAGAGGUUACUGGGUGUGCUGCUUCUGUGCAGAAUCACCCCUGUCACAGUGGUAGAAGGAUAAAUCCUCACCAGGUUUCAUCCUGGUUUAACUCUUCUUGUUUGUGGGAGUAAUUUUAAAAUCCUUAUUUCCCAAAGAAUUGAGGCUGACACCAUCAAGCUCACAGCAUCUGUCUUUCCCCAGAUCCUGCCUCUUACCUCCUACAACCUCAGGAAGUGCUGAACUUGCUGGUCUGUUUCAAAGAAAACAAACAGAGGAAUAAAGGUCCAAGAGCUAAAUAAAUCUCUGCAGGAAUAAUGAAAAUUGGCAGCAAGGUAAAGCAGAGAGAUCCUACAAGCCUCUGCACUGAGGGUGUCCGCCCUCUGCUAGACACCAGGUGUGAAUUUGUAGGAAGCUGGGUUACAUCUGUUUUGCCAAUCAUGAAACAACAAAACAUUUGGAAGGAGGUUUAUUCAUUUUCCAAUUCAGCUUGGAAAUUGCAGCAGGAUGCGUGUUCCCAACAUAGAAUGGAAAAACUGUGAUGUGAAUUCAUGUUGUUUCUCUCCCAAUUGGGUAGAGAAUGACCCAAUUAUAGGGCAAGAUUCAGGUCGAGCUCUCAGCCAAGCAUGAGACAGAAACCCACAGGAAACAAAGUUUCAUCAAUUAAUCAUAGUGCUGGCAGGACUUUUUUCCUCCACUGAAAUAGUUAAUACACCUUCCAUCGUGGACACAACUAUACUGGUGCUCCAACCCAGUUGCAUCAGGAGGGCAUAGUUCGCUGCCACUUUGCAAGCCCUCAGCUCCCAAGAGGAACUUUUGGGAAUUCCUAAGACAAACAUUCAGGCUCAGGCAGCUGAUCGGGACCUGCCAAGCUGCAGAGCUCAGGGAGUUACAGCCCUUUCUGAGGGAAGCUACUGCUCUUCAGCAGUAACUCACUGUCUGAACCCUCUUAUUCUGCUGUAGUGCAAAACAAAGCAUGGUGAGAAGGUGUGGGAGCUGGAUCUCUUUUAAAGCAGCUGAAUGGCAGCGUAACUGCCAGGGAUCCAUACUCGUUCAACUGCUAUUGCAAUAAAGAAAAAAAUUAGUGCCUUUAUACCAACGCAGAAGUUGUGUGCAGAGAUGAGCCCUUGGACACAGCCUGUGCUAAUGGGGAUAAUCACUGAAUCUACGCACUUGGGUGAACCUAUGCAGUUCAUACUGAUCACGGACAGGCAUGGAUUCAGUCCAAGAGAUCACAGGGAUGGAACCCAAAGCAAGCUGAACCCCUUUGCCCAUCUUCCCUGAAAAUUCCAGUCACGAUGCCAUGAUUUAAAAGACAGCGUUGGAUGCGUGCUUCCCUCACAGCUAUUUUAUCCUAGAUUUUUAGAGAAUGUGUACCUUAAGCACUGGGAAAUUCACCAAAAUAAAAAACAGAAAUGGAAAACUAAAAGGUGGUGUACUUAGGGAGGUGGGUAAAUAGGCAUUCAGGACAAAACAGCCCGCAAAUCCCCUAAAUAAAAUGGAUUUUAUCAAGCCAGUUGUCCUCCUUUCCCUGCAGCACAUCUUCUCGUGUACCUGAAAGAAACAGGCUGCGUAAAGCGCAUGAAAGAUUUAUCAGUCUCGGUCAGACGUGCUCUGCGCCCGGGAAACCCCAUCUCGGUAAAUCCAUCUCCCUCACGUUCCCGUGGCGCUAUCGGGAGAAAGGGCCGCUGCGAGACGCGCGUGGCCGUGCCCCCCCCCCGCGAGAUUAUCCCGAUUAGUACUUCUUUGGGAUGCUUCU